rnacentral:rRNA from 1 species
AUUGAACGCUGGCGGCAGGCCUAACACAUGCAAGUCGAACGAGUGGCGGACGGGUGAGUAAUGUCUGGGAAACUGCCUGAUGGAGGGGGAUAACUACUGGAAACGGUAGCUAAUACCGCAUACCAUCAGAUGUGCCCAGUUGGGAUUAGCUUGUUGGUGUGGUAACGCCUCACCAAGGCGACGAUCCCUAGCUGGUCUGAGAGGAUGACCAGCCACACUGGAACGGAGACACGGUCCAGACUCCGACGGGAGGCAGCAGUGGGGAAUAUUGCACAAUGGGCGCGAGCCUGAUGCAGCAAUGCCGCGUGUAUGAAGAAGGCCUGCGGGUGGGAAAGUACUGUAAGCGGGGAGGCGUUACCAGAAGAAGAAGCACCGGCUAACUCCGUGCCAGCAGCCGCGGUAAUUC